UACGGAGGGUGCAAGCGUUGUCCGGAAUUACUGGGCGUAAAGAGCUCGUAGGUGGUUUGUCGCGUUGUUCGUGAAAACCGGGGGCUUAACCCUCGGCGUGCGGGCGAUACGGGCAGACUUGAGUACUGCAGGGGAGACUGGAAUUCCUGGUGUAGCGGUGAAAUGCGCAGAUAUCAGGAGGAACACCGGUGGCGAAGGCGGGUCUCUGGGCCGAUACUGACGCUGGAGGAGCG
rnacentral:rRNA from 1 species